UUGGCUAAGUUGUCUUGGCUAAGGUGUCUUGGCUAAGGUGUCUCGGCUAAGGUGUCUUGGCUAAGGUGUCUUGGCUAAGGUGUCUUGGCUAAGGUGUCUUGGCUAAUGUGUCUCGGCUAAUGUGUCUUGGCUAAGGUGUCUUGGCUAAUGUGUCUCGGCUAAGGUGUCUGGGCUAAGGUGUCUUGGCUAAGGUGUCUGGGCUAAGGUGUCUUGGCUAAGGUGUCUUGGCUAAUGUGUCUUGGCUAAGGUGUCUUGGCUAAGGUGUCUUGGCUAAUGUGUCUUGGCUAAGGUGUCUUGGCUUAGGUGUCUUGGCUAAGGUGUCUUGGCUAAGGUGUCUUGGCUAAGGUGUCUUGGCUAAGGUGUCUUGGCUAAGGUGUCUUGGCUAAUGUGUCUUGGCUAAGGUGUCUUGGCUAAGGUGUCUUGGCUAAUGUGUCUUGGCUAAGGUGUCUUGGCUUAGGUGUCUUGGCUAAGGUGUCUUGGCUAAGGUGUCUUGGCUAAGGUGUCUUGGCUAAGGUGUCUUGGCUAAGGUGUCUUGGCUAAGGUGUCUUGGCUAAGGUGUCUUGGCUAAUGUGUCUCGGCUAAUGUGUCUUGGCUAAUGUGUCUUGGCUAAUGUGUCUUGGCUAAGGUGUCUUGGCUAAUGUGUCUCGGCUAAGGUGUCUUGGCUAAUGUGUCUUGGCUAAGGUGUCUUGGCUAAGGUGUCUUGGCUAAGGUGUCUUGGCUAAGGUGUCUUGGCUAAGGUGUCUUGGCUAAGGUGUCUUGGCUAAUGUGUCUUGGCUAAUGUGUCUUGGCUAAGGUGUCUUGGCUAAGGUGUCUUGGCUAAGGUGUCUUGGCUAAGGUGUCUUGGCUAAGGUGUCUUGGCUAAUGUGUCUUGGCUAAGGUGUCUUGGCUAAGGUGUCUUGGCUAAGGUGUCUUGGCUAAGGUGUCUUGGCUAAGGUGUCUUGGCUAAGGUGUCUUGGCUAAGGUGUCUUGGCUAAUGUGUCUUGGCUAAGGUGUCUUGGCUAAGGUGUCUAGGCUAAGGUGUCUUGGCUAAUGUGUCUCGGCUAAUGUGUCUUGGCUAAAGUGUCUUGGCUAAUGUGUCUCGGCUAAUGUGUCUUGGCUAAGGUGUCUUGGCUAAGGUGUCUUGGCUUAGGUGUCUUGGCUAAGGUGUCUUGGCUAAUGUGUCUCGGCUAAGGUGUCUUGGCUAAGGUGUCUUGGCUAAUGUGUCUCGGCUAAAGUGUCUUGGCUAAGGUGUCUUGGCUAAGGUGUCUUGGCUAAGGUGUCUUGGCUAAGGUGUCUUGGCUAAGGUGUCUUGGCUAAGGUGUCUUGGCUAAUGUGUCUUGGCUAAUGUGUCUUGGCUAAUGUGUCUUGGCUAAGGUGUCUUGGCUAAUGUGUCUUGGCUAAGGUGUCUUGGCUAAGGUGUCUUGGCUAAGGUGUCUUGGCUAAGGUGUCUUGGCUAAUGUGUCUCGGCUAAGGUGUCUUGGCUAAGGUGUCUUGGCUAAGGUGUCUUGGCUAAGGUGUCUUGGCUAAGGUGUCUUGGCUAAGGUGUCUUGGCUAAGGUGUCUUGGCUAAUGUGUCUCGGCUAAUGUGUCUUGGCUUAGGUGUCUUGGCUAAUGUGUCUUGGCUAAGGUGUCUUGGCUAAGGUGUCUUGGCUAAGGUGUCUUGGCUAAUGUGUCUUGGCUAAGGUGUCUUGGCUAAGGUGUCUUGGCUAAGGUGUCUUGGCUAAGGUGUCUUGGCUAAUGUGUCUUGGCUAAUGUGUCUUGGCUAAGGUGUCUUGGCUAAGGUGUCUUGGCUAAGGUGUCUUGGCUAAUGUGUCUUGGCUAAGGUGUCUUGGCUAAGGUGUCUUGGCUAAGGUGUCUUGGCUAAGGUGUCUUGGCUAAUGUGUCUUGGCUAAGGUGUCUUGGCUAAGGUGUCUUGGCUAAGGUGUCUUGGCUAAUGUGUCUCGGCUAAGGUGUCUUGGCUAAGGUGUCUUGGCUAAGGUGUCUUGGCUAAGGUGUCUUGGCUAAGGUGUCUUGGCUAAGGUGUCUUGGCUAAGGUGUCUUGGCUAAGGUGUCUUGGCUAAUGUGUCUCGGCUAAUGUGUCUUGGCUUAGGUGUCUUGGCUAAGGU